AACGGACGCUGGCGGCAGGCUUAACACAUGCAAGUCGAACGCCCCGCAAGGGGAGUGGCAGACGGGUGAGUAACGCGUGGGAACAUACCCUUUCCUGCGGAAUAGCUCUGGGAAACUGGAAUUAAUACCGCAUACGCCCUACGGGGGCAAGAUUUAUCGGGGAAGAAUUGGCCCGCGUUGGAUUAGCUAGGUGGUGGGGUAAAGGCAUACCAAGGCGACGAGCAAUAGCUGGUCUGAGAGGAUGAUCAGCCACAUUGGGACUGAGACACGGCCCCAACUCCUGCGGGAGGCAGCAGAGGGGCAUAUUCGACGAUGGGCGAAAGCCUGGUCCAGCCAUGCGUCGUGAGUGAUGGAGGCCUUAGGGUUGUAAAGCUCUUUCACCGAUGAAGAUGAUGACGGUAGUCGGUGAAGAAGCCCCGGCUAACUUCGUGCCAGCCGCCGCGGUAACAC
rnacentral:rRNA from 1 species